rnacentral:lncRNA from 1 species
GGGCAUUUUGUUCACUGUAACUAAAAAGUAAUUAGUAGUAAGUAAAUUUGUACGAAGUGUUUUAUUUGCUGACCCACUGCUGCUGUAACAAAAUAAUUUCCCAGUCUGGGAUCAUUAAAGUAAUUCUAUCUAUCUAUCUAUCUAUCUAUCUAUCUAAUUUAUUACUCUAUGAUUACAGUACAUUGUUAUAACAUAUUACAUUAAAAUCAAGGUAACUAGUAGUAUCUAAUAUAUUGCAUUUCAAAAAUAAUGUUAACGUUGAAGACAUUAUGAGAUGGUAAGUAAGAUGUUUUUAUUUUGAGGGGGUCUUUUGUAUUUCUGAUAGUAUAUCGGAGUAUCUAGGUUGUACACAGUCAAAGAAAUUGUCUACAAAAAGUCAUUGUAUUUACUUUAAUAUCUGUAUUUUGCAAUAAAAUUCACAUAGGGUCAGAAUUUGGUGCAACACCGGAACCAACGUUUUUGUUCCCUGUUUGCACCCGGUUGUUUUCCGACUUCCUGAUGUCUUCGUGUACGAAGACGCCACCUCUAGUUGUGGCUGCAGUCAAGCUCCCUACAAAAUGAACUAUCGUCGGAUAAAAGGACUUUCACAAAAGCCAAAACAAGGCAUCAACAUGCAGAAAUCCUCAGAGCCUGUGGAGGAGGAGGAUGAGAACAGUGGCAUCCUACACAUGCUCACGCAAGUCAGUGAUGUCUUCCAGAUUGGGAAAAAAAUCUCUGUGAGCCAUUUCAAGAGAAACUCAAAAUUGAAAUGGAUGAUGGAAGCCUGCUGGAGAGUGCCAGAGCUUCACCCUCUGCGUUUGGAAGCUCUAUGAGGGAGGAACCAGUCUUUGUUGUAAACAGUUCCUCGAUGUGGUGAAUGAGAUCAUAGGCUUCUUGGGAGGGGUGGCAACUUGACUUCUCUUGGUUUUUGCAUUGUUUUUCCUGAUCUGUGUUCUCUUUAAAAAAAAUCGUAAACUUCCCAGUGGUGUGGUAUUUGAAAGUGCAAAUGUAUUGUUUGAAUAUGAUUACCUCACAUAUUUUUUUGUUAUCAAAAUUUUGUAGGUGGUUAAAUUGCUCCUUCCGAAUUUAGAAUAGAAUAGAAUAGAACAGAAUUACUUUAUCGAUCCCGAUUUAGCCACCCAUGUUUUUCUAUACAUGCACACGCCUUUCUCCCAGCGAUCAGAGCAUCCCCAUGCAGCACAGCACACCUGGUGAAGACUGUAUUCAAGUACAACACAGCAGAAAGGACACAAACAGCUUGACGUGCUUAUCUGUUUGACUAAUUCAGAUACUGUUUUUAAGGAAUUCAUUGUGGUAUUAAAUGCAUUGGGAAAAUCAAGACUGUGUGAUUUAUAAUGCAUCAAUGAGUAGAGUAAGUUUGGAAUAAGUAAGAAUAGUUAACAAAUAGUGCUAGAAUUCCAUUUAUUUGCAAUGAAUUCAAAUAAAAAUUUUAAUUAUUUGCCAUGGAUUUCCUAGUAGAACACAGAUAUCAUCAUAAUGCUGCUGUGAGUCCAGACUUGUCAGUCACCUGUUAGCCUCAGAGUGACCGCGAGCGCUCAGAGAGUGACCGCAAGCACGCAGAGAGAGUGACCGCAAGCACGCAGAGAGAGAGUGACCACGAGCGCUCAGAGAGUAGUCAUUAUGCGUGCUGAUUAUGGUUUUAUGCACGCAGAUAUUGGCACUGAAAUGACUCCAUAUUAAUGUCCUACUCUGAUGCAUGCGUCAGUUUGAGAGGCUGAAAUAAAUGGGACAGUCCUCUGCCUUUAGUUGCAACAGCCUUUGAAGUGGACCGUGGUUUGUUCGAGGUCCGACGCCACAAAACCAAACUACUAACGAGACAGUGUCUUUUUAGGUAACGUUACGGUCUCUUUGCUUGCUGCAUGUUGUUUUUGUUUCUCUGUGGAAAGUCAAUGCGGGGGAGGGCGGAGCCCACUAUGAACUACGGGAGCCUGUGGGGAGCGGUGGCAGAGCAAGUUAAAGAGAAAAUCGAUUUUAUUUUUUAAAAUCAUCCUAAACCAAAAAACUUGAAUUAAUCGAUUUUGCCGAUUUAUCGCCCAGCCCUAAGCAUUAUGAAGCGAGAACCAGUGGGAUAUCCCUAAACCUCUGUUGACCCAGGUUAAUUUAUGAUCACUCUUUUUUAUGCAUUUCUCUCCAAGUCAAAUUCCUGUGUACUCUGUACAUUUGGCAAAUAAAAGAGCUGGUCAUACUAUCGACGAGUGACACCGCCUGAGACGCCGCCUGUGACGCACAUCGGGACUUCCGUGAG